UACGGGGGGAGCAAGCGUUGUUCGGAUUUACUGGGCGUAAAGGGCGCGUAGGCGGUCGUGACAAGUCACUUGUUAAAUCUCCGGGCUUAACUCGGAACGGUCAAGUGAUACUGUCGGACUAGAGUACAGAAGGGGCAACUGGAAUUCUCGGUGUAGCGGUGAAAUGCGUAGAUAUCGAGAGGAACACCUGCGGCGAAGGCGGGUUGCUGGGCUGAUACUGACGCUGAGGAGCGAAAGCGUGGGGAGCAAACGGG
rnacentral:rRNA from 1 species